UACAGAGGUCCCGAGCGUUGUUCGGAUUCAUUGGGCGUAAAGAGCUCGUAGGCGGUCUGUCGCGUCUGCUGUGAAAACUCGGGGCUUAACCCCGGGCCUGCAGUGGGGACGGGCAGACUAGAGUGCGGUAGGGGAGACUGGAAUUCCUGGUGUAGCGGUGAAAUGCGCAGAUAUCAGGAGGAACACCGGUGGCGAAGGCGGGUCUCUGGGCCGAUAAUGACGCUGAGGCACGAAAGCGUGGGGAGCAAACAGG
rnacentral:rRNA from 1 species